rnacentral:rRNA from 1 species
ACGGACGAACGCUGGCGGCGUGCCUAACACAUGCAAGUCGAGCGAGUGAAUCUCCUUCGGGAGUGAAGCUAGCGGCGGACGGGUGAGUAACACGUGGGCAACCUGCCUCAUAGAGGGGAAUAGCCUUUCGAAAGGAAGAUUAAUACCGCAUAAGAUUGUAGCUUCGCAUGAAGUAGCAAUUAAAGGAGCAAUCCGCUAUGAGAUGGGCCCGCGGCGCAUUAGCUAGUUGGUGAGGUAACGGCUCACCAAGGCGACGAUGCGUAGCCGACCUGAGAGGGUGAUCGGCCACAUUGGGACUGAGACACGGCCCAGACUCCUACGGGAGGCAGCAGUGGGGAAUAUUGCACAAUGGGGGAAACCCUGAUGCAGCAACGCCGCGUGAGUGAUGACGGCCUUCGGGUUGUAAAGCUCUGUCUUCAGGGACGAUAAUGACGGUACCUGAGGAGGAAGCCACGGCUAACUACGUG